CGGAGGGUCCAAGCGUUGUCCGGAAUCACUGGGUGUAAAGGGUGCGCAGGCGGGCCUGUAAGUCAGAGGUGAAAGCCACCGGCCUAACCGGUGAACUGCCUUUGAUACUGCAGGUCUUGAGUCCCGGAGAGGCUAUCGGAAUUCGUGGUGUAGCGGUGAAAUGCGUAAAUAUCACGAGGAACACCGGAUGCGUAAGCGGAUAGCUGGACGGGUACUGACGCUCAGGCACGAAAGCGCGGGGAGCGAACAGGAUU
rnacentral:rRNA from 1 species